AAACUUCACUCCUUCCAAAUUACUCUCUCACUGUCACACUUCUCUCACCGCCACACUUCUCUACAGCGGCACUUCUCUGCCGUCUACAGCGGCACGUCUCCUCACAACUCUGUAAACUUCAGCUACUCACCAGAUUCAAAAUGGGAUAGGUGUUCUAAGGUCCGAUCCCUCUCCAAUAUUUGGAACUGAAAUUAACGAGAGAGCUUCUAGAUCUUCAAGGAUAAAGAAAGUUGAGGUCUGGCCCCUUUUCAAUAUUUGCUUUAUCUGGAACUGGAAUUAACGGGAGAGCUUCUAGAUCUUCAGGGAUAAAGAAAGUUGAGACAGAUGAUGCUAGUGACAGUAGUCGUAGUGACAAUCGUUGAAGUUCCAUGAAUAGUUGCAGGUCAUUUCUUGAGUAUGGAUGCUAGUGAACCCUUUUCAUCAAUAAAAGCAAGAUUAGCGAAUGACAGUUUUUGUAGUGAUUUGAAGUUUCUUGUAAUCGUAAUGGUUGAAGUGAAUGGUAUGUUUCAAUUUAGUUUGUAAAACUAAUAGUACACUUUAUGAUAUAUUUUUUUGUUGAAAUAUUUUGUUAUUUCUUAAUACUAAUAAGCCCUUUUAGGUU